rnacentral:rRNA from 1 species
AUGGAUAGAUCGCCUUACGUGCCAUGUCUCAGAGUGAAAAAUAACAAAACUGACCCUUUGGCCAAAGUUCAGCACAAAAUGGCCCUCUUUUGGAAAUAUUUCAUAAAAUGGCACUACCCGUAUGACGCCCUGGUCAAGGGCGUCAUACUGAUGGCGAGGAUCGUCAAUGUGCAUCAUGUGGACUUUGUCUCCUUUGAGAAGGGAGAUGCAGAGUAUGGUGACUCGAAGAAGAAGCCAGUAGUGAUGGUGUUUCCCACAAGUCCUAGCCUUGAGGAGGUUUUGGUUGAGCUUCGAAGAAGGUUGAAUUGGAUGGAAGAAAGCGAUGGAGUAGACUUAAUCGGAAGAAGCCCGGUUCGAGAUUCAACACAUGUCACUCCGGAUGUGCAUGACACAACAAUGAGCCAACCUCCAAUGACCCAAUGUUUGAGCCCCGUCGGGAAUGACCAAGUUGAUAACGAAUACUUGCACAUGGAUGGUGGUGAGUUUGACGGUGAUGAAUCAGAGGCUUAUCUUCAUGACCAUUAUGUUGGUGAUGUUGAGGCAAAUUGCAUGGAAGAGGACAUGGACCAUGAGAUUCCAUACAAUAGGUCCUAUGCGUGGGACUCGGAGGAUGAAGGCCCGGAUGAAGAAAUAGAUGAGGAUGAUUUGACGGCUAAAGAAGCCAAUGCUUUCAAGAAGGUAAUAGGCCGUAGUCACAAGACAUCAUUGUUUCGUGAUCUAAGCCUAGCCGAUAAGGCAAUUGUUGAUGGUGGGACAAGUAAAAUUCUUGCACCAAGGUUAACUUCAAAGCGAGAUACGAAAGCAAGUGUGUAUGGUGUUAGUGAAGGAACAAUCUUUAAAAGCUUGGCAAAACUUCAAAUAUGGGCCAAGGACUACACGGUCAAGUUUCAUCGGCCAUUCUUUGUGGAGAAGUCAAACUCGAAAGUGCGUAAUGUGGUGAGAUGUGAGGAACACAAGAAUCAUUUCCCUUGGGUUAUCCGUGCAAGAUGUGUCAAAGGCGGGCCACAAUGGAAUAUUACAAGUUCCGUGUUUCACCAUCGGUGUAGUGGCAAGGAUAUUGAUGAUGCUAAUGUAAAGGAUGAUCACCGUCAAUUAACCUCGAAAUUCAUUGCAUAUCGAUUUUCAACCUCCAUAAAGAUACUCCCGACAUAUCCCAUUCGAGCUUUGAUGGAGAUGGUGAAGGAGGUUUUUGGGUACGAGGUGAAGUAUGGGAAGGCAUGGAAGGCCAAGCAAGCUUCCUUUGAUAUAUUGUAUGGUGGUUGGGAAGAAUCAUACAACCGCCUCGCGAUGGUGUUGAAAGCAAUGGCGGCAGAAAAUCCUAGCAUGUACUAUAUGGUGAGCCAGAUGGCGUGA